UCAACUUGGUGCUAAGACAAGUGGUUUUGCCUGCGCAGCAUGGAAAAUUGCAUCCCAAUUGGGAAAGAUCGUACCACAUAUUCUAAAAGUUGCCACAUGAAGCAGGUAAGCUACAAGAAUGGGAUGGAAGUCCCGUCCCUAGGAAUUGGAACUCUAUUGGUUUAAAUUAUUAUUAUAGUUAAGUUAUUUAUGAUUUUUUUUAGAGGAG
rnacentral:lncRNA from 1 species